rnacentral:lncRNA from 1 species
AAGAAUUACACCAUAAUUUAGUAUCUGCAGUUUCAAGACGUCCAAGUUGUACAGAAUGGAACAAGCACAAAGAGUAAAGCUUGUAAGGUCUUCUAGGUGAGCUCAGAGCAUAUGGUUACGGCAAGGUAUCUUAACCCGUCUUCAGGAACAUUUCCAACCUGGACAGUAAGAGAAAAAUUAAAAAAUACAUGUAUAAUAAAACAUUAUCUGCAUUACAUUGAUUUACAACACUCAAAAGAGUCUAUGGAGUGCACUAUUCCUGUUUUAUAAGAGAUACGUCUACAACAUAAAGAGAAUUUCUAAUCAAAUUUCCUUUCAAGGCAUCAACUGAAUGUUCAAUUUAAUAAGAAAAUAAAAAAUGUCUGCAGUUUCAUACAUUGACACGUAAAUUAACCACAUCUAGUUCACCACAAUUACAUCAUAUGAUUACCUAUGAUAUAAAUUUUAGUUUCCUGUAUGUGAAGAUUCCAUAGAACACCGUCCAGAAAUCUGCACAUAAGACAUGAUAGGAAGUGAUUAAAGGAAGUGACAUCCACAACUUGUAUGAAUUUUUGACAUCAUAGGAUCUUGUAUUUUGGUAUAAACACACAAAGAAUGUAGUUCAAGAUAUGAAAUAGUUUCAUCCCAUGGAAAACAGCAAAAUUCAAACAUUUUUCUAGCACGAACAUGACAGUAGUAUAGAAACCAAAAUGUUUGGUGUUAUCUUGAAGUGGUUUACAACAUUCUUACUAGUCUUUUGGGCUCCCAGUCACAUGUGCCAAUGUUCUUAUCCAAUGCACUAGCACUUU